GAAUUCGCCCUUAGAGUUUGAUCCUGGCUCAGGAUAAACGCUGGCGGCGUGCCUAACACAUGCAAGUCGAACGUCCUCUCUUGCUUCGGCGAGAGAGGGAGUGGCGGACGGGUGAGUAACACGUGGGAACCUGCCCUCAGGUGAGGAAUACCACCGGGAAACCGGUGACAAGACCGCAUAGGCUCUCGCACGAGAGCAAAGCUUCCGUCAGGAGGCGCCUGGGGAGGGGCCUGCGGCCGAUUAGCUAGCUGGUGGGGUAAAGGCCUACCAGGGCGACGAUCGGUAGCUGGUCUGAGAGGACGAGCAGCCACACUGGGAUUGAGAACGGCCCAGACUCCUACGGGGGGCAGCAGUGAGGAAUUUUCGGCAAUGGGCGCAAGCCUGACCGAGCAACGCCGCGUGCAGGAAGACGGCCUUCGGGUUGUAAACUGCUUUUCUCAGGGACGAGCAAGGACGGUACCUGAGGAACAAGCUCCGGCUAACUACGUGCCAGCAGCCGCGGUAAGACGUAGGGAGCCAGCGUUGUCCGGAGUUACUGGGCGUAAAGGGCACGCAGGCGGUCGGUCGCGUUGCCUCUGAUAGCCGUCGGCUUAACUGACGGAGGCGGGGCAAAACGGGCCGACUCGAGGCUCAGAGAGGCAGACGGAAUUCCGCGUGGAGCGGUGAAAUGCGUAGAGAUGCGGAAGAACACCAAAGGCGAAGGCAGUCUGCUGGCUGAGAGCUGACGCUCAGGUGCGAAAGCCAGGGGAGCGAACAGGAUUAGAUACCCUGGUAGUCCUGGCUGUAAACGAUGACCACUAGAUAUGCGGGGUAUCGACCCCCUGCGUGUCGGAGCUAACGCAAGAAGUGGUCCGCCUGGGGAGUACGGUCGCAAGAUUAAAACUCAAAGGAAUUGACGGAAGGGCGAAUUC
rnacentral:rRNA from 1 species